GCCAUAGCAUUGCUUAUACAUCAGGAAGGAAGAUACAACACUGAUAUCAAUAGUAAAUAUACACCGUUAAAUUAAACCCAGUUUGAUGUGCUAGUUUGAUCAUAGUAUUAAAGGGGAAUGGAAACACUUAAGGAAGUGAAUCAAAGCAAAGAUAUGUAUUCAAUCCACUAAUACUAAACAUGUGCAUUUAACAUAAAAAAACAUAUCUAUAUUUAUUAUUUUGAUCGUCGACAAAGUUUAUUUGAGCUAUGGUCAGCGCCAUUUUAAAUUUCCAUAGUAACGACUGACACCAGUGCGUCCCUGGCAGGAAUCAGCUCAUUGUCUGUGGUAUCGAAGAGAGUGAGGUUAGGGGCGGACAACAACAAAUAGUACGUCAUAACAUGAAUUGUAUAGCGCCAGGCUGUAUGAAUUGUCUCCAAAAAUAUCCCUCGGUAAACUACCACAUAGGCUGCCCAAAGACACGCAGCUUUUGAAGAAGUGGCUCCAUGUCCUGAAGAGGAAGGAUGUGCCAGCUCGAACUCACAGGAUCUGCAUACAGCAAUUCGCGGAGGCAGACUUCACGAUGAAGGGCACUUUCGAUGCGGCAACCGGGAGUUUCCGAAUGGAAACUAGGCCUACGUUGAAGCUGUCUGCUUACGCCUCCGUUGAACAUUUCGAGGGUUAUGGUGUAGGGGUUGCCGACCGAGCAUCAUCGCUGACUUCGGAGUCGAGCAAAAGCGACUGAACGGAGGCGACGCGAGUCAAUGCAAUUAGGCCUGAAGUAACGUUAACCGGUCAUGACUGUUGUUGACUAGGCCAGCGUUAGACACUGGAUAACUUUGUUGCAAUUAAAAGGAUGACAUCCCUGAAAAGGUUUUCAUCCUGGAGGAGACUGUUCAGGAGGAGGAAAGAACGGUUAGUACAGCCUGCCAAACUGACCCCUGGGUGCCAGAGUGUCCCUGUGCUGCGGUGGAGAAGAGAACCGGGACACUCACUAAAGAGGUCCACCGGGACCCUCACUAACCACCGGGACCCUCACUAAAGAGGUCCACCGGGACCCUCACUAACCACCGGUACCCUCACUAACCACCGGGACCCUCACUAAAGAGGUCCACCGGGACCCUCACUAAAGAGGUCCACCGGGACCCUCACUAAAGAGGUCCACCGGGACCCUCACUAAAGAGGUCCGGGGCUCAGCUAGAUUGAGCUCACGUCCAUCAGUACAACCGAGUGCUGACCCUAUACACCACAGAUGGAGAUGACGGAGAGAGAUCAGUGAAGACCAGGACUACACCACAGAUGGAGCUGACGGAGAGAGAUCAGUGAAGACCAGGACUCGCUGUAUGAAUGUGAGAGCUCAGAAUCACAAUCAACACAGUGCCCGUAUAACAGUUUAACUUUAGUCCGUCCCCUCGCCCCGGGCGCGAACCAGGGACCCUCUGCACACAUCAACAACAGUCACCCACGAAGCAUCGUUACCCAUUGCUCCACAAAAGCCGAGGGCCCUUGCAGAGCAAAGGGAACCACUACUUCAAGGUCUCAAAGCGAGUGACGUCACCGAUUGAAACGCUAUUAGCGCGCACCACCGCUAACUAGCUAGCCAUUUCACAUCGGUUACACGAGCCAAGAUAUACUAUCGAUCACUUUGGGGGAGCGGGAUGGUGUUCUGAAAAUGGAGAAGGAGCAGGCCAUUCAUCAGCGAGUUCAAAAGAUACACCCAUCCAUAAAGGGAAUCAGAGUGGAAUUGUUUUUCCACAGAUGUUGUAUUUUUUUUAUCCGUCUCAAUGGAUGUGCUACCUUGUCCCGGUUCUGCUGUUUCGACUCUCUCUCUCUCAACCUGAAUGCUCAGCUAUGAAAAGCCAACUGACAUUUGCUCCUGAGGUGUUGAACUGUUGCACCCUCUAUAACCACUGUGGUUGUUAUUUUGAUGUAAUAAGUUAUUUUUGUAAAAAUACAUUUGAUUGAUUACUA